rnacentral:lncRNA from 1 species
GGCUCACUUCUCCCCAACCCCAUUCGAUUAUAUUUCUUUUUCUCUCCAUUGUCACCCAAUGAAUGGCGUGGUUCGAGGCACCAACGAUGAAGGAGAUUGUAUAGCAGAACAGACAUGGCUAUGGAAGAAGGUUGUGGGUUUUUGCAGUACCGGUGUGCUGAUUCAUUCCCAAAAGUAAAUAUCUUUAUGUAGAAGAUCGUCAUCAAAAUCAUAGCACUUGGGGUUUUGUAAGUCGUUCUCAUUUUUGUGAGUUUUUUGCGGGUUUAGGUUGGAUAACCUGGUCCGUGAUUAGAUUUUGGUGCAGAACUUGUAUCAUGGCUGGUAUACAUGUCAUUUAUUCGUGUAGGGCGAUGGCAAUAUUUUGUUUCUUGGAGGGUGCAUUUUAUCAAAUUAACUAUUCUUGGCUCUAAAACAACUUUAUAGGGGUGGGGGCUGGUUUAACAUUGGUGUGCGUGUGCUUGGCAUUUUCUUGAAAAACUAGAAGGGAGGGCAGGGCUAGAACCAAGUUUGGGUUUUGGCGUGUGUUUAUGGGGAUCAAAUCGAGACAUUGUGGGGUGCGUGAGUUACUUGUGGGUGAAUGUUAUGUGUGUUAUGGUUUUAGUAUUUCCAGUUUAUCAUGUUUGUUUCAUGUUCUUCACUUGUCACAAGUAUUUUUCAUGGUAUUGGUUGAAUUAGGCUGUUGAAAAAUAGUUCAAGCAGUUCUUAAUAAAGUUGGCAAUACAUAUUCUGGACCUAAAGGUAGGAAUAAGUGCGAGCUGGGGAUACGAUUUCAUGUGUGGAGCCUUAAAGCUUUGUCGAGUUCCAUGGAGAAACCUACAUGAAACUGUCCCCAUAUUUUGGACCUAAAGGCAUUGUUCUUCAGAAAGAAAAAUAAUCAUUAAUGCACUUAACAUAAGGAAAUGCGAUCACAAGUUACUUGAGUGAUGUAAUCUGUACCUAGUCAAGAAGACAAGAUGCCAUAAAAACACUUCAAUAGGGAUCACAAAUGGGUCUUUCGGUAACUGAAACCACCGCACAGGGGGUCAACAACAAGGAGGGAGAACACUUGUAAUUGAAGGAUCUGCAAGCAAAGAUUUGGCAUUGGCGAUGUGAUCACACAUUGUCGCUUUACAUCGGCCGCGAGGCUUCAAAGGUCUAUUCAACUUAAUUUCCAGGUCGAAAUUACUUGAUUUUGAUAGAAAUAAUUUUCACCAUCUAGUGAAGCCCCUCCUUCAAUAGCAAUUAAGCCUUUGCAACCAGAUCACAAGAAGCACACGGAUGAUGAAGACUCUUGCUUAGUAGCAUCCUCGUAUCCAUACUUCUUAACCAUACUAAAACUAAGGACUAUGAUGUUCAAACCUACUUCUGAAUCAGCCUCGUUCAGGUGUGGUACACGUGCAGAGAGAUCUUAAAAGCUUUAUUCUUAGUUAUAAGAGAAGCAUCAAGCACCAGAGGCGGAGAAAAUUAAAUAUGAUGCAAGAACUAUGGUAAAAUAUCAUCUUGUCUAUGGUUCUUAGCAAUAUGAUCAUAAGGUACUGUUUGUUUUCUUUACAAUUACAUAUUUAUGCCUAUUGGGACAGGUCAAAUGGGUUGAAAGUGACCAAAGUUAAUUAAAUGCUUACCUUAUAAAUUGCUUUGUUUAAAAAAUUAGAUUAGUUUCAGAUAGUAACGUUUUCGUAAUUAUAUCGUGUACAUACUGUUUAAAAGAUUGGAUUUUUUGAGGUCUCACGUUUGAUUCCAUCUCCGUUGAAUUUGGCACGAGUUUAUCCUCUCAUUACAGACUGGUAUACAUACUAUUUUCAGAAAGUACAGUAUUUGAAUUCUUAAAGUGAUUGGAAUGCAGUGAUUUUUUAAUUUAUACAACUUGAAUGCUAUGUUGUCAAGGCGCAUGGGCCGAGCCCUGAGCUUAGGUGCCUAAAAAUCGAGGGCUUUUUUAAAUUAGGCGUAAAGUGUAAAAUACUUUUUUAGGGGUUUUAGAGAUGUUUUAGGAUCUUUUAUGGCUAGUUUAGGAUGUUUUUGUCACACCCUGUCUUUUGCGGAAGCGUGAUUAUGUGUGAUUUGCUUAAUAUCAUUGCAUUCAAUCAUAACAACUAUAUGAUAAAAACCAUAGAUGGUCAUCCAUUAAUUAAGUUUAAAAACAUCACAAACAUCAUUGUUUAAACAUAGACUUCAAAUUCAAAUUUUACAAAUCAUAUGAAUUGUUUAGAGUUCCAGAAGGACUCGACUCUACAUAAAAUCAGGCUUUGGAAGAUGUGUCUCGUCCAGGAAUAAGACACAUUGCCCAAACCCUAAGACAACGGAUGACAUUCUUUAUUCUUAACGCAACUUGAAACAUCCAACGCCCGCCAGAUCCAUUUUUAAUUCCCUGAAAUACAUGUAGUUUUAAAAACAUCAACAAGAGUUGAGCGAGUUCAUGUGUUUGUUUGUAUGUAUGAAUAAACCUUUGAUAUCAUUGUAUGUAUGUAUGUUUUUUAAAUCCUGGUAUGAAAGCAAAACAAGGAAACAGAUCGAUUAAUGGUUUGCAAGGCCAUUAACAUGCGUGCAACGGCGUAGGACGGCACAAAACCUAGCAGAUUUUGUACCGGGCCUUCGGCUAUAAGACAUAGUCAUCUCAUGGGCCAAACCCUGGUCCACAUGGGUGUGGGCUCGCUACACCCAAAUAGAUCUAUCACUCAUGCCCCUUGGUCCUAACACGAGGAUUAAUGGUCUUAGGAGUGUGCCUACCCAUUCACAUGAUCUACUGUACUUUCCAUAGCUAACCAUACCAAUUGUAAUCGUUUGUAAUUAUUUUGUAACAUGUACUUCACCCCUGAAGUUAUAAAACAAAACAGUUUAAAGAAAAGGGGGACAUGAACUCACAGUCUUGCGUCUUCAACCACCGUAACUCAAGCUCCUUCGGGGAAACACGACUACCUACAACGUACAAUGAUCUAUUAGACGGGCGGGUCGUGCCUUGACUUAGUAUUAAUAUCUUUGAGUUACGUUUCUUUUGUGUCUUCGAUAUUAUCCCAAGUUAUAUAAUUAUUUGUUAAAAUAAUUAAUAUUUUAACUUAAACUAUAUUUAUUAAAUUUUGGAAUAAUUGUUAAAACAAUUAUUUUAACUUAACACUU